rnacentral:rRNA from 1 species
UACGAAGGGGGCUAGCGUUGCUCGGAAUGACUGGGCGUAAAGGGCGCGUAGGCGGAUGGCACAGUCAGAUGUGAAAUUCCCGGGCUUAACCUGGGGGCUGCAUUUGAUACGUGUGAUCUAGAGUGAGGAAGAGGGUCGUGGAAUUCCCAGUGUAGAGGUGAAAUUCGUAGAUAUUGGGGAAGAACACCGGUGGCGAAGGCGGCGACCUGGUCCUUGACUGACGCUGAGGCGCGAAAGCGUGGGGAGCAAACAGG